CGUGCGAAGGUAGCAUAAUCAUUAGUCUUUUAAUUGAAGGCUUGUAUGAAUGGUUGGACAAAAAGUAAUCUGUCUCAGUUAUAAUAGUUGAACUUAACUUUUAAGUGAAAAGGCUUAAAUACUUUAAGGGGACGAUAAGACCCUAUAAAACUUAACAAUAAUUUGAUUAAAUUAUAAAUUGUUAGUAUAACUUGAUUUUAAUUAAUGUUUGUUGCGUUGGGGCGACGGGAAUAUAAUUAGUAACUGUUCUUAAAUAUUUUAUUAACAAGUAUAAUUGAAGAAUAAUUGAUCCUUUAUUAAAGAUUAAAAGAUUAAGUUACUUUAGGGAUAACAGCGUAAUCUUCUUUGAGAGUCCUCAUCGACAAGAAGGUUUGCGACCUCGAUGUUGAAUUAAGGUAUCCUUAUGUUGCAGCAG
rnacentral:rRNA from 1 species